UACAGAGGUCCCAAGCGUUGUUCGGAUUCACUGGGCGUAAAGGGUGCGUAGGCGGUCGGGUAAGUCUGAUGUGAAAUCCUCACUAAGCUUAACAUGUCGAACUGCAUUGGAUACUAUUCGGCUUGAGAGUUGGAGGGGGGACUGGAAUUCUCGGUGUAGUGGUGAAAUGCGUAGAUAUCGGGAGGAACACCAGUGGCGAAGGCGACUUCCUGGCCUGUUCUUGACGCUGAGGCGCGAAAGCUAGGGUAGCAAACGGG
rnacentral:rRNA from 1 species